AGCAAGGAAUAAGAAGACUGCACUCGUAUAAAAUUAAGAUUAAAAGCUACAAUGUGUGUGUGUGUGUGUGAGAAAGUUUGUGCUUCUGUUGCUAUGGACUGUAUCUGAUGCUCCUCUUAUGGGUCUGCCUCUAUGUCUAUGUAUUUAAGACGGCAAACAACUCAGAUGCUGCAGCUGAGAAGCAUUGAAUUUGUUGAAUUCAUUGCCAGGAUUACCUGUCAUAUAGCCACAAAGCACGAGGAAAUUAAAAAUUUCGCCAGCAACGAGCGUUAAGUGAAAACAAAGCAGCCUUUUAAUUUAACAGCAUGGCACACAAAAUAAAAAUAAAAAAAACACAAAAGCUUGAAGCUGACAAGAAAGUGUAGCAGCUGAGACAUUGUCGGCUUAGUUUAAGCCAAAAUUUGCUUUUGCCUCACAGCCAUCCAUAUGGGGCGUUCACGUCUAGACUCUGGACGCUGGCAUUGUCUUUGUUUUCUGAACCGGUCUCGGUCGUCAUCAUCAUCAUCAUCGUCAUUGUCAUCAUCAGUUGUGCGUCAUGCCGACUCAGACAGACCAUAAAAAGUAAUGCAGCUAAGUACAACUCGAUUGUUGUUGUUGCCAAUGAGCGCAGCAACAAUAAAUUGUGCAAUAAAUCAAUAAAGAACAAUAAAAAUAGAAACAACAAUCAUGAGUGACUAUUUUUCAACAAAGAAAACCUUCUCGAAAUGUGUUUAGCUCCAGAUCCUACCAGUAACUAGUUACUGCAAAAGCCUAGAACUGUUCAAAG